rnacentral:lncRNA from 1 species
AGGUACGCUGAUAAAAUAAAUGGUGUCGAAAUAAAACGGACCUUAGCAGCGGCCUUCUUGCCGGUCGCCUUGCAUGCGACCUGCAGAGCCUUGCGCGAGGUGGCGAGAGCGAAAGCCAUUUUAGAUGUUCGUAAGGUGAUCAGACUCUGCUGCACAAAGGAGAGAACUGAUACCGGAAACACAGGCAACCAGCGCUUUUGUUUUGCAAGCAAAUCUUGAUGCCGUACGCACGCCGUAUCCCUGUCCUGUCCGUGGGACAGGGCGCUUACCUAACAGAGAUCGCAGGAUACAGACAUGGCACACCUGCAACACAUGCGCUUAACAGCUAUCUGCACCUGCACAGAUUGGCAUGAACGAUUUGCUACACCUGCUUGCAAGUUUCAUACAAGUUUCUGAUGCAAGGAUAACUCAGUGGCGACUGUAUAAAUGCUGUGACGUGCACGCUGAACAUGGAUUUUGAUACGCACUGCAAAGCAUUCUUUAGGCGCCAAAAGUGGUCUCUCCAUGUUUGACCCUAGCUGUUCGGCCUUUACUCAUUACCAGUACCGUAGGACGGGAGGACAGUAGCUGUUGUCCUUGCUAGGAAGCAAGCUGAUAUAAUGGGUCACGCUGCUUAGGACGGCAAAGGGCAUUCCAUCCCGGACAGGGCCGGUGAACACAAGGUCCAAGCUCUGCUGGACCGCAAAAGGGCGACAGCGCCGAACCGGAGGCCGUUUAGGACCGAAGGAAGGCAACAAGCACGUCCGUAGCAACCUGUCGUAGCAACACAUCCGAUCAAGGGAGGACGGGCGGCCUCAACCAAACGCAUGAGCUCUUCGCAACUUACAAUCGGCCACGGGCUUCCAAACGUCGGAGCCUAAGGCUGGCACCUGGGAAAAGCUCCUACUUUGCCCAUGGCUUGCCUUUGACCUCUGAAGUACUGAACGGAACGCCAGCACGCCCUCUGUUUGUUACCUCUUUUGCCAGGGGUUUCACAACGCACGCUACAUGUUCAGCACUCCACGCAUGCUUAGCUUCAGGCUAUCCAUUAAACCGUGGUGAAAGGAACAAAGACGAACCUCUUGUGACCAGCAGUUUUAUGCAUAAAAUCGCGGGGCAGUAUCAGAUAGACAAGGGACAGCGGGUAGCCUAUUUGUGUGUGUCGUCCUGCCUUUCUGGGGGAGUACUGGAACCAUGGCACUGGCAUACGGUGUUCGGUUCUUAAGCUACGGGAGCAGGUGGUCAAACCAUUGGCGAUGCUGCAUGCUCUGGCCUUGCGGAUGCGAAACUGAUCGAAAGGGGCCUGCCAGCCAGGGUGAUACUGAAAGCAGUAGCCAGCAUGCAGCGGCGUCCAUCUGGUUGCCGAGCUUUUAAGACUCCAUAUCAUUGCACGUCCCAUGGUUCUACACCGGACUGUAAUCCAGGUAACGGCAUCACUCAUUACAAGGCUCCAGUCCGACUUCGUGCCUUUUUCCUUCGACUUAAGUGUGGCGUGUGCGUGUGUAUGUGAGUGUGUAUAUGUGCGUGUGUGUGUAUGCGUGUGUGUGUGUGCGUGUGUGUGUGUGUGUGCGUGUGCGUGUGCGUGUGUGUGUGUGUGUGCGUGUGUGUGUGUGUGUGUGUGCAUGUGUGUGCGCGUGUGUGCAUGUGUGUGCGCGUGUGUGCAUGUGUGUGGGUGUGGGUGUGCGUCUGUGUGUUUCUGCAUGACAAGAAAAAGAAAGAGAGUGAGUGUGUGGUUUGUGUUUGUGAGUUUGUGUGUGUUUGUGUUUGUAAGUAUGUGUGUGUUGGGGUGUGUGUGUGUGAUUUUUUGUUAUGCAUAUCGACAGGUUUUUCGUGGUGCUGAUGCUGUGCUAUCCGAAACGGGACACAUAAGCCCGAGGCGAGCGCCACAAUAAGCCUUCUUGGUGCAACGGGGUACCUUCCAGUGGCAACGUAGUUCCUGGCUGUGAGGAAGGUAGCGAGCCUGGUUCGCGGAGGCCGAGGCCGCUGUACGCAAGAGGGAUUGGCGAUGACCUAUGCCGCGCCAGUGAUGAUGUCGGCGGGGAGUGACCUACCAACGUGGUUUGCUGAAGUUUAACUCUUGCACUGUACGACAACCGAGGCCAUCAACCCGCGAUUAAGCGCCUAGCUCACUUCGCUAACACAGGAUAGCCACGAUAACCCUUGGCUUCGUUGCGUAAUAGAGCGUGGCCAUAUGCACCUCGAAUCAUCCCUCUGAAUGACAUGUUCCUUUAGCUCGUGUCUCGCGCGUGUUCUCCAUGUGUGCCUGUUUGCGUGGCCGCCUUUGCAGUACGCGCCCACCAAAAUGGCUGUAUGUGCUCCCGCCCCAAGAAGCGGUGAAACAAGCACUGGAACCGAGACCUUCCUUAUGUCAUGAACACCGAAAUGUUACAGGAGCUUGCUUGGCGCAACGCACCCAGCACGUGCAUGCGCUUUGUAUGAAGCUCUUGAUAUCUCACGUCUCACCGCCCAAUACCCCACCCAAAAGUAAGAGCUCCACCUCAACACCCGUGCUGUGGGAAACCCCUACUAGGAAACACCCACAUCAAAACUUCAGGCCCGUAACAGGACCGCUUCCGCCGCUGCUCACCACUCACCACGCGGGAACUCAUCGCAGGAACACGACAUCAAAAACAGAGGUGGCCACAGUGCGACAACGAGGUUCGAUGGAAUAACUGACAAGCACCCACGCAUCACUCAACAGUUUUGGCAAGCUGCGCNNNNNNNNNNNNNNNNNNNNNNNNNNNNNNNNNNNNNNNNNNNNNNNNNNNNNNNNNNNNNNNNNNNNNNNNNNNNNNNNNNNNNNNNNNNUUCAUACAGUUUCUGAUGCAAGGAUAACUCAGUGGCGACUGUAUAAAUGCUGUGACGUGCACGCUGAACAUGGAUUUUGAUACGCACUGCAAAGCAUUCUUUAGGCGCCAAAAGUGGUCUCUCCAUGUUUGACCCUAGCUGUUCGGCCUUUACUCAUUACCAGUACCGUAGGACGGGAGGACAGUAGCUGUUGUCCUUGCUAGGAAGCAAGCUGAUAUAAUGGGUCACGCUGCUUAGGACGGCAAAGGGCAUUCCAUCCCGGACAGGGCCGGUGAACACAAGGUCCAAGCUCUGCUGGACCGCAAAAGGGCGACAGCGCCGAACCGGAGGCCGUUUAGGACCGAAGGAAGGCAACAAGCACGUCCGUAGCAACCUGUCGUAGCAACACAUCCGAUCAAGGGAGGACGGGCGGCCUCAACCAAACGCAUGAGCUCUUCGCAACUUACAAUCGGCCACGGGCUUCCAAACGUCGGAGCCUAAGGCUGGCACCUGGGAAAAGCUCCUACUUUGCCCAUGGCUUGCCUUUGACCUCUGAAGUACUGAACAGAACGCCAGCACGCCCUCUGUUUGUUACCUCUUUUGCCAGGGGUUUCACCACGCACGCUACAUGUUCAGCACUCCACGCAUGCUUAGCUUCAUGCUAUCAAUUAAACCGUGGUGAAAGGAACAAAGACGAACUUCUUGUGACCAGCAGUUUUAUGCAUAAAAUCGCGGGGCAGUAUCAGAUAGACAAGGGACAGCGGGUAGCCUAUUUGUGUGUGUCGUCCUGCCUCUCUGGGGGAGUACUGGAACCAUGGCACUGGCAUACGGUAUUCGGUUCUUAAGCUACGGGAGCAGGUGGUCAAACCAUUGGCGAUGCUGCAUGCUCUGGCCUUGCGGAUGCGAAACUGAUCGAAAGGGGCCUGCCAGCCAGGGUGAUACUGAAAGCAGUAGCCAGCAUGCAGCGGCGUCCAUCUGGUUGACGAGCUUUUAAGACUCCAUAUCAUUGCACGUCCCAUGGUUCUACACCGGACUGUAAUCCAGGUAACGGCAUCACUCAUUACAAGGCUCCAGUCCGACUUCGUGCCUUUUUCCUUCGACUUAAGUGUGGCGUGUGUGUGUGCCUGUGUGUGUGCCUGUGUGUGUGUGCCUGUGUGUGUGUGUGUGUGUGUGUUCUGCAUGACAAGAAAAAGAAAAAGAGUGAGUGUGUGGCUUGUGUUUGUGAGUUUGUGUGAGCUUGUGUGUGUUUGUAUGUGUUUGUGUUUGUGAGGAUGUGUGUGUUUGUGAUUUUGUGUUAUGCAUAUCGACAGGUUUUUCGUGGUGCUGAUGCUGUGCUAUCCGAAACGGAACACAUAAGCCCGAGGCGAGCGCCACAAUAAGCCUUCUUGGUGCAUCGGUGCAUAAGCCACAAUAAGCCUUCUUGGUGCAUCGGGGUACCUUCCAGUGGCAACGUAGUUCCUGGCUGUGAGGAAGGUAGCGAGCCUGGUUCGCGGAGGCCGAGGCCGCUGUACGCUUGAUGUUCCUUUAGCUCGUGUCUCGCGCGUGUUCUCCAUGUGUGCCUGUUUGCGUGGCCGCCUUUGCAGUACGUACCCACCAAAAUGGCUGUAUGUGCUCCAGACCCAAGAAGCGGUGAAACAAGCACUGGAACCGAGACCUUCCUUAUGUCAUGAACACCGAAAUGUUACAGGAGCUUGCUUGGCGCAACGCAUCCAGCAUGUGCAUGCGCUUUGUAUGAAGCUCUUGAUAUCUCACGUCUCGCCGCCCAAUACCCCACCCAAAAGUAAGAGCUCCACCUCAACACCCGUGCUGUGGGAAACCCCUACUAGGAAACACCCACAUCAAAACUUCAGGCCCGUAACAGGACCGCUUCCGCCGCUGCUCACCACUCACCACGCGGGAACUCAUCGCAGGAACACGACAUCAAAAACAGAGGUGGCCACAGUGCGACAACGAGGUUCGAUGGACAUAACUGACAAGCACCCACGCAUCACUCAACAGUUUUGGCAAGCUGCGCAUCCAAGCGUAUUUACCCAACAGCGACGGAUAGGCAACUACUGCCUGCAAUUGCUAUGCAUGUGACGUCUCGUAUACCGGUAUUGGCAGUUUAUUGGUUAUGCUGUGUCUACGUUCACAUAGCUAAACAACGUAACGUAGCUGAAGGCAGCAGCGGCCGGCAGAUGCGGACAACCGCUUCGACUAGCAAACGUAGCAGCGAUACAUUACGCGCUGGGCGUGAACUUGGUGGCGAAGGCGAAGGCGUUGUUGACGGCCGGGUUGGCCAGAUGGUCGUUCAGGUUCUCAAUGGGCCCCUUGCCGGUCACAAUGGCCUGCACGAAGAAGCCGAACAUGGAGAACAUGGCCAGGCGGCCGUUCUUGAUCUCCUUGACCUGAGCNNNNNNNNNNNNNNNNNNNNNNNNNNNNNNNNNNNNNNNNNNNNNNNNNNAAAGCAUUUAGAUGUUCGUAAGGUGAUCAGACUCUGCUGCACAAAGGAGAGAACUGAUACCGGAAACACAGGCAACCAGCGCUUUUGUUUUGCAAGCAAAUCUUGAUGCCGUACGCACGCCG